rnacentral:rRNA from 1 species
UUUAACAUGCAGUCGAGCGGUAACAGACAUAAAGAUUCAGCUUGCUGAAUCCGGUGCUGACGAGCGGCGAACGGGUGAGUAACGCGUAGGAAUCUACCCAGUAGCGGGGGAUAGCCCGGGGAAACCCGGAUUAAUACCGCAUACGCCCUAAGGGGGAAAGGAGGCAGCUUGCUGCUUUCACUAUUGGAUGAGCCUGCGUAAGAUUAGCUUGUUGGUGGGGUAAAGGCCUACCAAGGCAACGAUCUUUAGCUGGUCUGAGAGGACGAUCAGCCACAUUGGGACUGAGACACGGCCCAGACAUCUACGGAUGGCAGCAGUUAAGAACAUUGGACAAUGGGGGCAACCCUGAUCCAGGUAUACCGCGUGUGUGAAGAAGGCCUUAGGGUUGUAAAGCACUUUAAUCAGAGAAGAAGCAUUUUAAGUUAAUACCUUAAUUUGUUGACGUUACCUGAAGAAUAAGGACCGGCUAACUCCGUGCCAGCAGCCGCGGUAAUACGGAGGGUCCAAGCGUUAAUCGGAAUUACUGGGCGUAAAGCGUGCGUAGGCGGUUUAGCAAGUUGAAUGUGAAAGCCCUGGGCUCAACCUAGGAACUGCAUUCAAAACUACUAAGCUAGAGUACGAGAGAGGAGAGUAGAAUUUCUGGUGUAGCGGUGAAAAUGCGUAGAUAUCAGAAGGAAUACCAAUGGCGAAGGCAGCUCUCUGGCUCGUCACUGACGCUAAGGUGCGAAGGCGUGGG